UACGUAGGUGGCAAGCGUUGUCCGGAAUUAUUGGGCGUAAAGCGCGCGCAGGCGGUUCCUUAAGUCUGAUGUGAAAGCCCCCGGCUCAACCGGGGAGGGUCAUUGGAAACUGGGGAACUUGAGUGCAGAAGAGAAGAGCGGAAUUCCACGUGUAGCGGUGAAAUGCGUAGAGAUGUGGAGGAACACCAGAGGCGAAGGCGGCUCUUUGGUCUGUAACUGACGCUGAGGCGCGAAAGCGUGGGGAGCAAACAGG
rnacentral:rRNA from 1 species